AUGAAACUGAGCCUUACCAGGGAAACAGAAACUGACCGAGCAUCACUGGAGGAGAGCCAAAGGAAAGGAUUAUUAUCAAAUGGGGACCAGUGGCCACGCAGAGCACUUCUCCAGGUGGUGUCCUAUCUGACCAGCCAAGGCUCUUUCAACAGGGCUUCUCACGCCAAGGGUUGUUGGCCUUUGGCCUUCCAGCCCUGGGCAUGGGCAUCACUGACAGUUCUGAUCAGCAGGGAUGAAUGGUGGUGUUGGGCCAGCCAGUGGGCUUGUGGCCAUCCUAUACCAUCCUUGGUAAGUGGGGCCCUCUAGGCCCAGGAGUGGGAUUGCAUCCAUUGUCCAUAAAAGGGAAGUAAAUUGCCUGAGGUUGCACAGCCAGAUUGUGGCAAGACCUGUGACUGAAAACUCAAGUCUAGGGCUCUCCCCUCUACCUCUCCGUAUACCAGAAUGAACUCUGUGGGGUCCAUAGCUCUGUUUCUCUUCAAGGUACCACCUUAGAACUAUAGAAUCUGAGGUAGAAGGACCCUCAGAGGCCAUAUGGUCCACUAGACUGAGAAUGAAUAACAUUCUUUCACUGUGGAAUGAAAGAAUAUUCUUACUAAAGCAGAAGGUUCACAUUUCUCCUGGAGGCCUUCAUGGGUGGGCCUUUCUGCCCCUAGCAAUGGAUCCCCCAUCUCUGAGUUCCUUACCCCAUUGGGAACUCUGGGCUUGUUUUCCAGGGCCUGGGGUGAACACCACUAUGCCAGCCUGAUGUGGGAGCCAAGGCUGGCUAUGAGGUCCAUCAGAAUUUCAUAUGCCAAAAGAAAUGUGAGAAUGAGGGGGUGAGUAGGAGCAGAUGUCUACCAGUAACUCUAACCAGACAAUCAGAGCCCAUAUGAACCUUGCUGACCAGCAAGGAAAUGGGCUUAGUGUUCUGGAUGAAUAAACUGAAUAAAUCUGCUCA
rnacentral:lncRNA from 1 species